rnacentral:lncRNA from 1 species
AAAUGUGGUUUACAGUUGUUUCAGAAUAAUCUGAUCAUUUCAGUAGAACUCUUCCUUCCUCCUUCUCGCUUACAGAUAUUUUCCUCAGUCCCACAACAGGCUCUUAACUUCCAUCAGCCACAAAUUUCUAAACACUCGUCCUCAGGGAAGCACCAAACUAUCUCAAUAUGAAGCUCAUUCUAGUUGUCUUUACUGUCUCCGUGAGAACCACCCCAGUAUAUCUAGGCUGCACCUUCCACCCCUUAAAGCUAAAUCCAGCAGAAUGUUUCAGUAAUGGCAAUCUAUAUACUUUGGGAGAAACUUGGAUGCAUGACUGCAACCUCUGUACAUGUAAUAAGGACAACGUGAUUUGCUGCCCCAAAUACUCUGCACCCUCGAGUUUUGAUGAAGAAAUGUGUGAGCCUAUUUUUAACACUAUGACCUGCACUUUCAAAGUUGUGAAGAAAAACGACCAUUCUAAAAACUGUCCAUUCGAAUCUAACGUAGGUUAAGGUUUCCAAAUUUCUCUCAUUUGAUUAACCAAUCAUAAAAUUUUUUUUAAAAAAUUCAGUGAAUCCUGAUGCUUCUAUUGCUGACAUUGUUAAGGGCUUUAUAGUUUAGCUCUGAUUCUAAAUGGCAUGCAUUUCACAACUUUCUUUUUCGAUCCUAUUAAAAAACCCAAUUUUAAUCAGCCGCUAUCUUCCUUGGGCACUGGAACUUGGGGUUAAAUAAAUUAAGAAGCAACAUCAAAAGCUUCUUGUCUCAUACUUUAAGGACAUAGCAUUUGGAUUUUUAAGGGGAGUGCUUAGUACACUCCUUUGCACACAGUAAGCACUCAAUAAAUACCAUUGAUUAAAAUACUAUUGAUCAAAUACGUCUUUCUAGGGUUUCAUUCCUCUUUGGUUGAAGGGAAGACAGUGAUAAUAGCCCUAACAAAAAUGAUAGUAAUAAUUACAAGCUCACUGUAAGCAGGGGGCAUGUUUAACAGUUGUGUUCUUUUGUACCCUGCCAAGUGCUUAGUACAGUGCUCUGCAAACAGUAAGCCCUCAAUAAAUACCAUUGAUUGAUUGAUUGAUUAAUGAAUUGCUUCCUAUAUGAUAUACACGAAUGAGGAGUGCGUUUGUGUAUCUGUAAAGGCACUUUUAGGAAGGUUGAUCACAUUAUUUUUAUUUUAAACUGGAC